AUAAAAUAUAUAUUACAGAAGUGCCUAAAAGCUAGCUGGGUGUGCUACGGAAGUACCGUAAUAGAAACCGGAAAUAUCUCCUUUCACAAGUUUUCAUUGCACAAACCUGACCUGUGGAGAAGAUGGUUUAGCCGUGGACGACUUUCAUCCUGCAGAGUUUAAUCAGUGCACAACAUCCUCUCCUCCACUUCAUGCUGCAGAGCACAGGAAGGCCAAGCCAGCUGUUCUCCCAUUGUCCAGGUGCUUAACGGGAUUACAGAGGGGCACAAGGCCAACCUCCUCCACACACACAUGCGCACGCYGGCACUUUCAUACGCAGACUUGACCUAAAACUUCAAAGGCAGAUGGAGAAGCACAAGGAUGCAUCAUCCCCCGGCUUUGUGGAUAAGAACUGGAGCUAUGCUCAGCUGAGCGUGCACACUCAGUGUGACUGGAUCGCUCAAUAACACACAAUGGGUGUAAACAGUCGGGAUGAAAUGCUCCACUGCAAAAUGUAUUUGUUCUACUCAAUUCCGAAUGUAGUUUUUUUUUAAUUAUUGCUGCUUAUUCUAAAAAAGAUAUUGAAAAAAAUACAAAAAUAUGACAUAGUUUAAAAAAUGUUUGAAGAACACACUUUCCCAAGUUUUUGAAAUAUAUAAAUUAAA